ACCCCGGCUCCUUGGGAUAGAUGGGGAAGCUGAGGCCCAGAAGGGGGCUGAGACCACCUCCCAGUUUCCCCAGUGAGGUGGCGCCUGAGCCACGGCCAGGCCCGGCCUCCUUCCACCCGGCCCUGCUGUGCGCGCGGCGGGUGCUGACCUGGCGAGGCCGGACAGGGGACCAGGUCGGGGUGACCGUCACUGACACCUGGACAGUCCUCGUUGUGUUCGGGGUGGGAAGCCCACGGAAGACAUCAACACAGGAGACUCCCAAGACUGCUGGGGCCAAAUGUGGCAGGUGGACGUCUCCCCGCCACCGAGCAAGCCAUCAGUUCUGCAGCGGACACCAGCCGAGUGUCCUCCAACACCAUUCCGGUACCUGCAGAUAGCGUCAGAUCCAGACACCUACACACACACACACACACACACACACACACACAUAUGCACACACAUGAGCUGCGAGGGCCAGCCUCUGGAACUUCUUACCGACUGGCCCGACGUUGAGGUUCCCACUGUUAGAGGAACGCUUGCUCACCAGGCCUCUGGUUUAAUGAAACAUGACCAGAGUGACUCCAUCUUGAAGUGAGUAGGAGGCACUCACAAGGCACCUAUAAGGUUAAUGCUUAUGGUCUAAAAAUAGCCAUGUCUCAAGCUGGACACCAAUUAUAAUUACAGAAUAUUUGUGGCCAUAUGGGGCAUCUCCCAGCAAGCCCGCAGACUGUCCAGAUA
rnacentral:lncRNA from 1 species